UACAGAGGUCCCAAGCGUUGUUCGGAUUCAUUGGGCGUAAGGGUGCGUAGGUGGACGUCGUAAGUCGGGUGUGAAAUCUCGGGGCUUAACUCGAAACGUGCAUUCGACUACUGCGGUGCUUGAGGACUGGGAGAGGAGACUGGAAUUUACGGUGUAGCAGUGAAAUGCGUAGAGAUCGUAAGGAAGACCCAGUGGCGAAGGCGGGUCUCCGUGGACAGUUCCUGACACUGAGGCACGGAAAGGCCAGGGGGAGCAAAACGGG
rnacentral:rRNA from 1 species